UACGUAGGUGGCAAGCGUUGUCCGGAUUUACUGGGCGUAAAGGAUGCGUAGGCGGACAUUUAAGUCAGAUGUGAAAAUACCCGAGCUUAACUUGGGUGCUGCAUUUGAAACUGGGUGUCUAGAGUGCAGGAGAGGUAAGUGGAAUUCCUAGUGUAGCGGUGAAAUGCGUAGAGAUUAGGAAGAACACCAGUGGCGAAAGGCGACUUUACUGGACUGUAAACUGACGCUGAGGCAUGAAGGCGUGGGGGAGCAAAACAGG
rnacentral:rRNA from 1 species